GUUGUAUAGUCAAGUAAUUAAGUGCAUGUGGUGGAUGCUUGGCAGUCAGAGGCGAUGAAAGACGUGAUAGCCUGCGAAAAGCUCCGGGGAGGCGGCAAAUAUCCUUUGAUCCGGAGAUGUCUGAAUGGGGGAACCACCUACUUUAAGGUAGGUAUUGCAACAUGAAUACAUAGUGUUGCAAGGCGAACGAGGGGAAGUGAAACAUCUCAGUACCCUUAGGAAAAGAAAUCAAUUGAGAUUCCCUCAGUAGCGGCGAGCGAACGGGGAUCAGCCCAUUAAGUUAUGUGUGUUUUAGUGGAACGCUCUGGGAAGUGCGAACGUAGAGGGUGAUAUUCCCGUACACGAAAGGGCACACAUAAUGAUGACGAGUAGGGCGAGGCACGUGAAACCUUGUCUGAAUAUGGGGGGACCAUCCUCCAAGGCUAAAUACUCCUGACUGACCGAUAGUGAACCAGUACCGUGAGGGAAAGGCGAAAAGAACCCCUGUGAGGGGAGUGAAAUAGAUCCUGAAACCGCAUGCAUACAAGCAGUGGGAGCACCUUCGUGGUGUGACUGCGUACCUUUUGUAUAAUGGGUCAGCGACUUAUAUUCAGUAGCGAGGUUAACCGUAUAGGGGAGCCGUAGAGAAAUCGAGUCUUAAUAGGGCGUUUAGUUGCUGGGUAUAGACCCGAAACCAGGCGAUCUAUCCAUGAGCAGGUUGAAGGUUGGGUAACACUAACUGGAGGACCGAACCCACUGUCGUUGAAAAGCCAGGGGAUGACUUGUGGAUAGGGGUGAAAGGCUAAUCAAGCCUGGUGAUAGCUGGUUCUCCCCGAAAGCUAUUUAGGUAGCGCCUCGGACGAAUACCAUAGGGGGUAGAGCACUGUUUCGGCUAGGGGGUCAUCCCGACUUACCAAACCGAUGCAAACUCCGAAUACCUAUGAGUACUAUCCGGGAGACAGACUGCGGGUGCUAACGUCCGUAGUCAAGAGGAAAACAAUCCAGACCGCCAGCUAAGGCCCCAAAAUCAUAGUUAAGUGGGAAACGAUGUGGGAAGGCAUAGACAGCUAGGAGGUUGGCUUAGAAGCAGCCACCCUUUAAAGAAAGCGUAAUAGCUCACUAGUCGAGUCGGCCUGCGCGGAAGAUGUAACGGGGCUAAAACUAUGUGCCGAAGCUGCGGAUGUAUACUUUGUAUACGUGGUAGGGGAGCGUUCUGUAAGCCGAUGAAGGUGUGUUGAGAAGCAUGCUGGAGGUAUCAGAAGUGCGAAUGCUGACGUGAGUAACGACAAAACGGGUGAAAAACCCGUUCGCCGAAAGACCAAGGGUUCCAGUCCAACGUUAAUCGGGGCUGGGUGAGUCGACCCCUAAGGCGAGGCCGAAAGGCGUAGUCGAUGGGAAAAUGGUUAAUAUUCCAUUACUUCUGUGUAAUGCGAUGAGAGGACGGAGAAGGCUAAAUCAGCCUGGCGUUGGUUGUCCAGGUGAAAGGAUGUAGGCAUGUAUCUUAGGCAAAUCCGGGGUACUCUAUGCUGAGAUCUGAUAGCAAGCUGUACUUGUACAGCGAAGUGGUUGAUGCCAUGCUUCCAGGAAAAGUCUCUAAGCUUCAGUUACACAGGAAUCGUACCCGAAACCGACACAGGUGGUCAGGUCGAGUAGACCAAGGCGCUUGAGAGAACUCUGCUGAAGGAACUAGGCAAAAUGGUACCGUAACUUCGGGAGAAGGUACGCUGUUGUUGGUGAUGGAACUCGCUUCCUGAGCUGACGACAGCCGCAGAAACCAGGCCGCUGCAACUGUUUAUUAAAAACAUAGCACUCUGCAAACACGAAAGUGGACGUAUAGGGUGUGAUGCCUGCCCGGUGCUGGAAGGUUAAUUGAUGGGGUUAGCGUAAGCGAAGCUCUUGAUCGAAGCCCCAGUAAACGGCGGCCGUAACUAUAACGGUCCUAAGGUAGCGAAAUUCCUUGUCGGGUAAGUUCCGACCUGCACGAAUGGCAUAAUGAUGGCGGCGCUGUCUCCAGCAGAGGCUCAGUGAAAUCGAAAUCGCUGUGAAGAUGCAGUGUACCCGCGGCUAGACGGAAAGACCCCGUGAACCUUUACUGCAGCUUGACACUGAACUUUGACCUUACUUGUGUAGGAUAGGUGGGAGGCUUUGAAGCUGGAACGCUAGUUCCAGUGGAGCCGUCCUUGAAAUACCACCCUGGUAAUGUUGAGGUUCUAACUCUGUCCCGUGAUCCGGGACGAGGACCGUGUCUGGUGGGUAGUUUGACUGGGGCGGUCUCCUCCUAAAGAGUAACGGAGGAGUACGAAGGUGCGCUCAGCGUGGUCGGAAAUCACGCGUAGAGUAUAAAGGCAAAAGCGCGCUUAACUGCGAGACCCACAAGUCGAGCAGGUACGAAAGUAGGUCUUAGUGAUCCGGUGGUUCUGUAUGGAAGGGCCAUCGCUCAACGGAUAAAAGGUACUCUGGGGAUAACAGGCUGAUACCGCCCAAGAGUUCAUAUCGACGGCGGUGUUUGGCACCUCGAUGUCGGCUCAUCUCAUCCUGGGGCUGAAGCAGGUCCCAAGGGUAUGGCUGUUCGCCAUUUAAAGAGGUACGCGAGCUGGGUUUAGAACGUCGUGAGACAGUUCGGUCCCUAUCUACCGUGGGCGCUGGAAAUUUGAGAGGAUCUGCUCCUAGUACGAGAGGACCAGAGUGGACGAACCUCUGGUGUACCGGUUGUGACGCCAGUCGCAUCGCCGGGUAGCUAUGUUCGGAAGGGAUAACCGCUGAAAGCAUCUAAGCGGGAAGCCUACCUCAAGAUAAGAUUUCCCUAGGACUUUAUGUCCUCUAAAGAGCCGUUCGAGACUAGGACGUUGAUAGGUUGGAUGUGGAAGCAUAGUGAUAUGUGAAGCUGACCAAUACUAAUUGCUCGUGAGGCUUGACUAUACAACACCCAAGCAGUUG
rnacentral:rRNA from 1 species